AUUCAUAGCUAAAUUAAAUAAUGCUUAAGAUCUCUCUCAAAGUUAUAUAACUAAGAUGGGGAGAUUCAAAUGACUUAAAAUAGAGGCAGGGCAACACACACACACAAAUGGAGGACAGUGCUGGUGCUGAGUUUCCAGGCUUCCAAACUUGUGCUCACAAAAGUGACACCAAUAUUUUUAGAAGGCAUUUGAGUCAUCGGCUGCAAAGACGAGCUCCUUGUCCUCUUCAGCUAAACCCUAAUAACAAUGUCUCUUCGAGUUGCAGCGGUAUGCAGAACUUGGUGGGGAGCAGCUCAAAUUCUUCUUCAUCUUCAUUGAAUUCCUUCUAUCAGAGCAAAGAUCCCAUUCCCCUACUCUCCCCUCUAGUGUUGCUGCCUUAAAUUAAUUGCCACAAAAUCUUACUGAAUUUUUCACGAGGUUUAUAUUCUAUGGCAAGUUUAUGCUAUCUAAAAUGAUCUAUGGCACAUGUAUGUUAUUGGGAUUUAUCUCCUGUAUGUCAUAUAAACUUAUGUACAUGCCUCCCAUGGCUCUGUAAAUUGAGUACAUUUUCUUUGUAUGGUUGCCAAUGAAUUACAGAUCAUAAAAGAAGUCCUGCAGCUAGUUCAGUUGAGAUGUGACUUGCGAGCCCAUCAAUCAUCUUGCAAAUUGAUCCAGG
rnacentral:lncRNA from 1 species